rnacentral:rRNA from 1 species
UACGUAGGGUGCAAGCGUUAUCCGGAAUUAUUGGGCGUAAAGAGCUCGUAGGCGGUUUGUCGCGUCUGCCGUGAAAGUCCGGGGCUUAACCCCGGAUCUGCGGUGGGUACGGGCAGACUAGAGUGCAGUAGGGGAGACUGGAAUUCCUGGUGUAGCGGUGAAAUGCGCAGAUAUCAGGAGGAACACCGAUGGCGAAGGCAGGUCUCUGGGCUGUAACUGACGCUGAGGAGCGAAAGCAUGGGGAGCAAACAGG